ensembl:antisense Cdrt4os1 CMT1A duplicated region transcript 4, opposite strand 1
AAAUGUGUAAAGAUCUGCUUUUGUUUCCUACACUCACCCACUCCAAACAUUAACCUCAUACCAACCUCCCACUGUACACAAGGGCCACAGGAAGCCUGGACAAUGCAGAAGAGCUAAAGGAAGUGGAUAGGCUCUAGCUUGGGCCACAGGGUGGCCCCACAGCCUAUCCAGUGUACCCUGAGCAGCCAAUCACCAAGAAAAUGAAGGCACUGUUCCACGCAGUACGGACACAACAGUGAAUAAAAUAGACAAACGCUCUGCUCUGGUAAAGCUUCAUUCAGUGAAGGAGAACAACGGUCAACAGAAGGUGGAAUCUCUGCUGUGCCGUACGGUACAGAGGCAUGCACCAGCAUGGACCAGCUAAACACUCCGUUUCCAAUGGUAGCAACUUCUCUGAGUGGUUCUGUAAUGGACUGAAGCUGGAAUGUGCCCAAAGGCUCCCAUGUUGAAGGCUUGGUCCCCCUGUCCCAAGUGAUGCAGAGAUCAUGAGGAUACUCAGCUCAUCAAUAGGUGAAGCUAUUGAUGAGUUCCCAGUUGACUGGCCUGGUUGAAAGGAGUAAGUCAUUGCUCUGUGCCUGGGAAGAAUGUCUCUCUCCCCUCUUCCCUUCCCUCUUUCUGACUCUUGGCCACCACAAGGUAACUAAUGAGCUUCCUCAGACUCAGAGAAGCAAGGAAAACAGCCCUCUGUGUACUGAGACCUCUGAAACCAUGGGCAUUCUCCUCUAAGCUUGGAAAGCUAUUUUGUCACAGCUACAAAAUAGUGGCCAACACACUGAGCUAAGAGAACCUCAUAGUUGCAGAGUUGUUAGCUAGGGUUGCUGUCGGAAGCCACCAUGUGACUGCUAGAAAUCUAACCUGCAUUCUCAAAGAGCAUCGUACGCUAUUAACUGCUGAGUCAUCUCUCCAGCCCUACAGUGUUGUUCUUCUAAGUGUAAUGUCUCCAUUGGGCACAAGCACCAGACAGAAUCUUCCUUACCCUUCCACACCAAGGGAAAAAGUGUCUCCUUUCAGAGGUCCCGGCAUAGCUGCAGAUGUGGUGAUUAUACAACUCAUCACCUACUUCAUGUCACUGUAAAUGUGUAUGUUUAUUGAAACAAUUUUCAGCUCAUGACCAAAAAGCCUUAAUUUAGUUCAGUCCAAUUCAGAACUCUGAUACGAAACAGUGAUAUGUGAAAUAGAUACGUCUCAACUAGAGCCCUGCCUCAGUAGCCCCACGAUUCACCUUAUCCAACUCCCUUGUCAGUCCUGAGCCUCAAGGUGGGAGACACCCACACCCACACCCACAUGGGCCUGUAGCCCAAAUCUGCCGGUUCACUAUGCUUCAAGUUGCAUGGAGCAUCCCCGCAGCUGCCAACACUGAUAUCUGCGAGUUCUGCUUCUAAUCAGGUCAGAAUUCCAUGGCUGCUUGCUGGGCACGUGUCCUGGGUGGUGGCUGCACCAUGCCCUCUUCAGAGGGGCUGUGAUCUGCCAACUUGAGGAGGAUCCAGAGUGAGGAUUUUGGAACUGGGAAGAUCAUGGCACCCAUGUGGUGAGAUCAUGCGUCUAACUGAGAAAGGCUGAGGUCUAGGAGGAUGGCGUCUUUUCUUUACUUGUGGGAGUUGUAGUGUGUUUCAGUAGGUCUUUGAAUCUCAGAGCAGGUUUCCCUCAGUAGCUGUCCUUCAGUACUGGCAACAAGUGAGAAAGUUAUACACAUUGUGUAUCCUUCCAUAUAAACAGAGUCCUCCAUAUCCAUAGGUACUGUGUCCAGAGUCAACAAACUUGAUUGACAAUAUUUUUAAAGAACGUUUUAAAAAGUAUUGAACACACAGAGCUUUUUAUUGUCAUUAUUCAUCAACCACACAGAAGAAUAAUAUUUACAUAAUCUUCACUUUGUCAUAUUUAUAAUCUAGACAUGAUAUAAAGUAGAUAGAGGACUAAGUUAGAGUCCUUUGCUCUGCUCAGCUGAUAUGAAGCCUUGGCCAUUCUGUUAUGCUAGAUGGGGCAAGGCAGGCAAUAGGAAGUACCCUGCUGAAUGUUGUCAUUGUCUUUUCCGGGCCACAGAACUAGACACAACAGAAGAAUAAAGCGACAGUGUUACCAGUG